UACGUAGGUGGCAAGCGUUGUCCGGAUUUACUGGGCGUAAAGAGCGCGCAGGCGGUCGACCAAGUCGCGUGUGAAAGCCCCCGGCUCAACUGGGGAGGGUCACGCGAUACUGAUCGACUCGAAGGCAGGAGAGGGUAGUGGAAUUCCCGGUGUAGUGGUGAAAUGCGUAGAUAUCGGGAGGAACACCAGUGGCGAAGGCGACUACCUGGCCUGUUCUUGACGCUGAGGCGCGAAAGCUGAGGGAGCAAACGGGG
rnacentral:rRNA from 1 species